CAGCGAGGAAGAACGCCUGUCGGUUAAUACCCGGCAGGAAAGACAUCACUCGCAGAAGAAGCACCGGCUAACUCCGUGCCAGCAGCCGCGGUAAUACGGAGGGUGCAAGCGUUAAUCGGAAUUACUGGGCGUAAAGCGCGCGUAGGUGGCUUGAUAAGCCGGUUGUGAAAGCCCCGGGCUCAACCUGGGAACGGCAUCCGGAACUAUUAGGCUAGAGUGCAGGAGAGGAAGGUAGAAUUCCCGGUGUAGCGGUGAAAUGCGUAGAGAUCGGGAGGAAUACCAGUGGCGAAGGCGGCCUUCUGGACUGACACUGACACUGAGGUGCGAAAGCGUGGGUAGCAAACAGGAUUAGAUACCCUGGUAGUCCACGCCGUAAACGAUGUCGACCAGCCGUUGGGUGCCUAGCGCACUUUGUGGCGAAGUUAACGCGAUAAGUCGACCGCCUGGGGAGUACGGCCGCAAGGUUAAAACUCAAAUG
rnacentral:rRNA from 1 species